AUUGAACGCUGGCGGCAUGCUUUACACAUGCAAGUCGAACGGCAGCGCGGGCUUCGGCCUGGCGGCGAGUGGCGAACGGGUGAGUAAUACAUCGGAACGUGCCCAGUAGUGGGGGAUAGCUCGGCGAAAGCCGGAUUAAUACCGCAUACGACCUGAGGGUGAAAGCGGGGGAUCUUCGGACCUCGCGCUCUUGGAGCGGCCGAUGGCCGAUUAGCUAGUUGGUGGGGUAAAGGCCUACCAAGGCGGCGAUCUGUAGCUGGUCUGAGAGGACGACCAGCCACACUGGGACUGAGACACGGCCCAGACUCCUACGGGAGGCAGCAGUGGGGAAUUUUGGACAAUGGGCGAAAGCCUGAUCCAGCAAUGCCGCGUGUGUGAUGAAGGCCUUCGGGUUGUAAAGCACUUUUGGCGGGAACGAAAAGGACUGUGCCAAUACCACGGUUCGAUGACGGUACCCGCAGAAUAAGCACCGGCUAACUACGUG
rnacentral:rRNA from 1 species